rnacentral:rRNA from 1 species
GAAGGGCACCACCAGGAGUGGAGCCUGCGGCUUAAUUUGACUCAACACGGGAAAACUUACCUGGUCCUGACACUAGAAGGAUUGACAGAUUGAUAGCUCUUUCUUGAUUUGGUGGAUGGUGGUGCAUGGCCGUUCUUAGUUGGUGGAGUGAUUUGUCUGGUUAAUUCCGAUAACGAACGAGACUCUAGCCUAUUAAAUAACACACAGAAUCAUGUCUUCUGCGGUGUUUCUUAAUGGGAUCAAGUGUGUUUAACACUUUGAAACAGAGCAAUAACAGGUCUGUGAUGCCCUUAGAUGUUCGGGGCCGCACGCGCGCUACAUUGAAAGACAAAAUGAGCGUUUCUGGUUUUUAACAAAACUAGUAAUCUUUGAAUGUUUUUCUUAAUGGGGAUAGGGGAUUGCAAUUGUGCCCCUUGAACGAGGAAUUCCCAGUAAGUGCUAGUCAUUAGCUAGUACUGAUUACGUCCCUGCCCUGU